rnacentral:rRNA from 1 species
CCUACGGAAGGCUGCAGUGGGGAAUAUUGCACAAUGGGGGAAACCCUGAUGCAGCGACGCCGCGUGAGUGAAGAAGUAUUUCGGUAUGUAAAGCUCUAUCAGCAGGGAAGAAAAUGACGGUACCUGAUUAAGAAGCCCCGGCUAACUACGUGCCAGCAGCCGCGGUAAGACGUAGGGGGCAAGCGUUAUCCGGAUUUACUGGGUGUAAAGGGAGCGUAGACGGCAGCACAAGUCUGGAGUGAAAUGCCGGGGCUUAACCCCGGAACUGCUUUGGAAACUGUGCAGCUAGAGUGCAGGAGAGGUAAGUGGAAUUCCUAGUGGAGCGGUGAAAUGCGUAGAUAUUAGGAGGAACACCAGUGGCGAAGGCGGCUUACUGGACUGUAACUGACGUUGAGGCUCGAAAGCGUGGGGAGCAAACAGGAUUAGAUACCCGUGUAGUC